AUACGAAGGGGGCAAGCGUUGUUCGGAAUAACUGGGCGUAAAGCGCACGUAGGCGGAUUGUUUAGUUAGAGGUGAAAUCCCAGGGCUCAACCCUGGAACUGCCUUUAAUACUGGCAGUCUAGAGACCGAGAGAGGUGAGUGGAAUUCCGAGUGUAGAGGUGAAAUUCGUAGAUAUUCGGAGGAACACCAGUGGCGAAGGCGGCUCACUGGCUCGGUACUGACGCUGAGGUGCGAAAGCGUGGGGAGCAAACAGGAUUAGAUACCCUAGUAGUCC
rnacentral:rRNA from 1 species